rnacentral:lncRNA from 1 species
UGGUGGGCCAUUGGUCAGUGGUCACCUUCCUUUUUCAUAUAAUGAUGUUCACAUGGUUCGUUGCAACUUGUUUGUGUACAUAACUACAUAUAAUUAUUUUCACUCAUUGGUAUUUCAUAUUUGGCAUAUGAAACGAGGAUAUGUAGCAAAUUGAAGGCAGUGAAAGUUAUAGUUCUAUUGAAGAAUUCACCAAAUAAUUUAUUUACAGAUAGGGGUUCAAACUCUAGCAGAAGUGGCCUAGUUGAAU